rnacentral:rRNA from 1 species
AUUGAACGCUGGCGGCAUGCUUUACACAUGCAAGUCGAACGGUAACAGGUUAAGCUGACGAGUGGCGAACGGGUGAGUAAUGCAUCGGAACGUGCCCGGUCGUGGGGGAUAACGCAGCGAAAGCUGCGCUAAUACCGCAUACGAUCUGAGGAUGAAAGCGGGGGACCGUAAGGCCUCGCGCGAUCGGAGCGGCCGAUGUCAGAUUAGGUAGUUGGUGGGGUAAAGGCUCACCAAGCCGACGAUCUGUAGCUGGUCUGAGAGGACGACCAGCCACACUGGGGCUGAGACACGGCCCAGACUCCUACGGGAGGCAGCAGUGGGGAAUUUUGGACAAUGGGCGCAAGCCUGGUCCAGCAAUGCCGAGUGGAGGAUGAAGGUCCUCUGGAUUGUAAACUUCUUUUAUAUGGGACGAAAAAAGGCUUUUCUAAGUCGUCUGACGGUACCAUAUGAAUAAGCACCGGCUAACUCCGUGCCAGCCGCCGCGGUAA